rnacentral:rRNA from 1 species
AGUGAACGCUGGCGGUAGGCCUAACACAUGCAAGUCGAACGGCAGCACAGUAAGAGCUUGCUCUUACGGGUGGCGAGUGGCGGACGGGUGAGGAAUACAUCGGAAUCUACUUUUUCGUGGGGGAUAACGUAGGGAAACUUACGCUAAUACCGCAUACGACCUACGGGUGAAAGCAGGGGAUCUUCGGACCUUGCGCGAUUGAAUGAGCCGAUGUCGGAUUAGCUAGUUGGCGGGGUAAAGGCCCACCAAGGCGACGAUCCGUAGCUGGUCUGAGAGGAUGAUCAGCCACACUGGAACUGAGACACGGUCCAGACUCCUACGGGAGGCAGCAGUGGGGAAUAUUGGACAAUGGGCGCAAGCCUGAUCCAGCCAUACCGCGUGGGUGAAGAAGGCCUUCGGGUUGUAAAGCCCUUUUGUUGGGAAAGAAAAGCAGCAGGUUAAUACCCCGCUGUUCUGACGGGACCCAAAGAAUAAGCACCGGCUAACUGCGG